UACAUAAUAUUAUGUAUAGCCAAACCAGGAAUAUAAAAACCCUCGCCAUAUUGCGGAAAAGCAAUAGAACUUUUUUCUUGCACUGGUAUCACAAAGUGUCAUA